AGUGAACGCUGGCGGUAGGCCUAACACAUGCAAGUCGAACGGCAGCACAGUAAGAGCUUGCUCUUACGGGUGGCGAGUGGCGGACGGGUGAGGAAUACAUCGGAAUCUACUUUUUCGUGGGGGAUAACGUAGGGAAACUUACGCUAAUACCGCAUACGACCUACGGGUGAAAGCAGGGGAUCUUCGGACCUUGCGCGAUUGAAUGAGCCGAUGUCGGAUUAGCUAGUUGGCGGGGUAAAGGCCCACCAAGGCGACGAUCCGUAGCUGGUCUGAGAGGAUGGUCAGCCCCACUGGAACUGAGCCACGGUCCAGACCACUACGGGAGGCAGCAGUGGGGAAUAUUGGACAAUGGGCGCAAGCCUGAUCCAGCCCUACCGCGUGGGUGAAGAAGGCCUUCGGGUUUUAAAGCCCUUUUGUUGGGAAAGAAAAGCAGCAGGUUAAUCCCCCGCUGUUCUGACGGUACCCAAAGAAUAAGCACCGGCUAACUUCGUG
rnacentral:rRNA from 1 species